UUUUAUAGUAAUAAUAAUAGCUUUUAUUCUCUGAUAUUUUGUUACUCACUGAAAUCAUUUCUUCCCUCAAUAUAUUGAAAAGAUCCAUAUUAGAAAAUGUACCUUUUGACCAUCAUGCUCAAAAGUAGAAAACCAAGGUUCAGCAGUUUCCAUAAGUUGUGAGAACAUUGCACUAAAAAAUAGAAAAAUAAUAUAAUACUAAUGUUAAACCUUCAUUACAGUAAAAAUGGCAUAAAAUAUAAACAUAACAGAAAGGUUUUCGUACUUACUAGGCAUCAUGUUCCAGGUACUCAGGGUUCAAGAGAGUUUUCAUUUCCUCACUUAAAAAAGUAACACAAGCAAUCAGAAUGUGUAAAUUUUUGUAAUUGAAGGCAAUGAAGAGGUUGUCUGAUUCUAUACUCAUAAGCCAACUUUCAUAUAAUGUGUAAAUGAAAAAAAGUUAGCCUUUUUUAAUAAAAAGAGCAACUACAUUAACAAAUAAAAUCCUUUCUUUCUAUAAAGAUUAAGACCAAAUUAGUCGCCUGCCUAUACCACAGUGAGGUAACUACCUAAUUAUUCCAGAUAAAAAACACUAAAUGUGACAAUACAUCCUUUGAAUGUGCUUAUUCUAGAAUAAAUUGAUUACUCUAUAGACUAUCACUUGUCCAAAACGAAACAAAAAAAUAGGUCAAAUAGCCCAUAUCAAACAUUAUUUUCUUUUAAUGGCUUCUACAUUUAUUAUAUUUUAACAUCCAUUAACCCAUGAGAGCACCUCUUCCAAAUCUAUUUUACUGUUGCUUUUACUUUAUAAAGGAUUGAAAGAACUAAAGAAGCAUGUCUCAAGCCUUUAAAAGCUAUUUUUCAUCAUAUAUACUUUCCUGCAUAUUCUGCAUAUAUGUAUUUUUUUAAAAAGAUAAAACUGGCAUGAAAACAGGAUCCCAAUACUAACUUCAUCCUUAUCAUAUUUUAGAAUAAGGGAAGCAACAGCAAUAAAGACAUGGUUACUAUAGUCAGAUCCAGUAAAUUCAGUAUAAUUAGAAAAACUCCAAGGAACAAGAAAAUACUAAUCUGUAACACGGUAAACAAAAGUUGAUUUGACAAAUGCCCUAAUACAGCUCAGCAAGAUGAUUGGCUACCACUUGAUCAAUAAAGAUGGUGGAGAUAAACACACAGAUAGAUGCUAUACGUUACUUUUAUCUUCUGCAUAAAGAUGGGCUAGCCUGUGGAGUAUAUCUAUCUGUCUAGGUUUUAUAAUCCCUCAGCUCUUGACUUCUAAGAUGCUUCCUGAAUUCUUCUCUGGCCCAUCUAGCUAGGAUAUCUUAUGUUAGAAAAUAAAAUUCUAUCAGCCUAGUUUAAAUAUAAUUACUAUGUUAUUUGCUGGAAAUAAAUUAAUGUAUUUCAAAAACGGGAGAAGCCAUUUUUGUUUAUUUAGAGAUGGGGGCUCUUUGUGCCACUGUUCUCUUACAUCUGACCUGAACUGAGUGGAAUCUGGUGGGGACAUAGUAUCUCACGGAUAAGGUUCUCUCACUUGAGAGAACGGAUCACUGGAGGAUGGUAUAUAGGAAUAGAGCAAUCAGUAGCACUUUGCCAUUACAACAAAAAUGUCCUCUUGAUCCAUUAACUAUAUGUCUUCCUUUGAUGCAGCUCUAAGACUUGCAGAGAUAUUUAUGACUCCAAAUUUGCUCCAUUGCUGAAAGGGGAUUAUAUUUAUUAAGUGGAAUUAACUAUCAGCCACAUGAAACACAACCGAAUGUUUACAAUUUACAAAAUACCUACAAUGUACAAGAUGUUGAGGUAAAAGAAGACUAUUGCAGACGGAGAAAAUGGAAGGAGCGCUCAUAUAAAAACUUGCCUUGGUUGUGCAGACUCACUGGCGUGAAGAAAGGCUUGGUGGUCACAGUGGAGGGUGAAGACUAUGGGCGCCAGCAGCUCGUGCAUGCCCUGGAACAGCAAUGGGGCGGGGGUGUCCAGUCACUAGUGGACAGAAUGAGCUGAGCCAAGAGCUUUUGCAGCUGAUCCCACCCCAGCAUUUCCACAGUAUACAGAAAAGUAUGGAAAUAAAAAGCUACAAAAUGAGAUUUUAUUUACUUUUAGAAUUUGAUUCCAAUUCAACCACAGCAUGUAUUCUUCUUUAAAACAUGGAGAGCAGUUCUCUUUUAAAUGGCACAACAAACAAUAAAUUGGCAUGGUAGACAACCUUGCACCUGUCAGUUGCUUCACGAUCUGUACUCAUAAAUAUGAAUUUCAUUUAUGCAAAUUAUAAUCAUGAGCUACAGUGUAAAGAUCUGCAGUAAGAAGGGCAACUAAGAACUGUAGACCUAAGAAAUUACAUCCAAUGUUUUCAUUAUAUAAUGGCUCAAAAUUAGGAUGUCUGUAGAUUUAGGAAGAGCUGAAGUCAGCUAGCUGGAAAUGCUGGAUAAUAAAAGCAGGUAUGGUAGAAAACAAAGUUUUUAAAGUAAGAUUUUCUACAUGUUUAAUCAGAAGAUGGCCAUAAUUUUUUUUUCUGCCUACUUAAGCUAUGAGUUUACUCUUCAAUUUGUUUAGCGAUUUCACCAAUACAACUUUCUUUUUUCUUAUAUUGUGUUCACCUAUGGAUUACAUGAACAGGCACGGAAACAAAAAGAUAUAUUAAUUACUAAGCAUUUCAUAGAGUAUUAUAAAAAUGCAUUAUUAAUCCAUUAUUGUGAGGAAAUAAAAUAUUCCACAUCAGUGAUUUGUCCUGUUGAGAUAUUUUCCCCUACUUAGGCAUCAAAAAUAUAUUUUAACAAGUUGAAAACAGAUUAUAUUUUUUUCUGCCUUUUCUUAAAGUCAGUAAAUUAUGAUUUUCCUUUUGCUCACCUUUUAUAAAAAGACAAGACAAAACUCCACCUUGACAGGAAAUAAGUAAGGAAACAGAAAGGAGAGAAAGUGUUUGCUGGCGGAUGAGAGAAAACCUCCUGUGACAGAAGGACAGUCACACGGCCCUCUGCACAGUCUAGCAGCUCCGUGCGAUUUACUGCACAGGACGCUAGUUCUUAUAAUAAAGUAACGUGAAGGUAAACUGUGUCAGAGUUCACUUAUAAGUUAUCACUAGCCUUGAAAUAAAAGAACUUACUGACAUUUAAAAAAAUUUAUUUAUGAUCUAUUGACAAUAUACUUGUGAUCUAGGACAAAUCACCACACGUCACUGUCCAUCUCCUACUAAACAAGCUUUGAAAAGACCAUUCCUUAGAAGAACUUAGUAGAGACCCAGAAAGAAUGGAAUUAAGUGUUGCUAAUGUGUUUUAAAAUCAUUAUGAGGGUUUAUAACUCAAAUUAUUCCAAUGACCAAGUGCCAUAACUUUAAUCAUCAAUGUAAUAACAGUUUUGUUAUUAUUUAAAAAACUACAGAAAAGCAAAUGACAACAAAAAAGAGAGGAAGGAAGAUUGAAGAGCCAAAGGAGAAAAGAAAGGAAGAAAAUUGAAAACCGUGACAAAUACCCUUUUGGUAAUCUUUUUGCUUAUUUCUGAUAGUUUCCUUAGGAUAAAGUCCGUAGGAGCCGAAUUUCUGGAUAAGCGAGUUAAGACAUUUGUUAAAGUCUCUGAUUUAUACAAUUAACCAACUAACCUGGCCUUCAGAAAGAAUUCCCUUCCUUUAAGGCACAAAAAUCACCAUCUCUUACAUCCUCACCUGUAACUGCAGAGUUUUUAAAAAAUCCUAUCAAAUUUCACAGUCAGGAGUUCCCGUCGUGGCGCAGUGGUUAACGAAUCUGACUAGGAACCAUGAGGUUGCGGGUUCGGUCCCUGCCCUUGCUCAGUGGGUUAACGAUCCGGCAUUGCCGUGAGCUGUGGUGUAGGUUGCAGACGCGGCUCGGAUCCCGCAUUGCUGUGGCUCUGGCGUAGGCCGGUGGCUACAGCUCCGAUUCGACCCCUAGCC
rnacentral:lncRNA from 1 species